GUCGAGCGAGGUUAUUGUUUUGGAUCCCUUCGGGGUGAAGAAGCUUUAACCUAGCGGCGGACGGGUGAGUAACGCGUGGGUAACCUACCCCAAAGUCCGGGAUAACAGCGGGAAACCGCUGCUAAUACCGGAUGUCUUUACCUUGGGGCAUCUUGAGGUAAAGAAAGGUAACGCUUUGGGAUGGGCCCGCGUCCCAUUAGCUAGUUGGUGAGGUAACGGCUCACCAAGGCGACGAUGGGUAGCCGGCCUGAGAGGGUGGACGGCCACACUGGGACUGAGACACGGCCCAGACUCCUACGGGAGGCAGCAGUAGGGAAUAUUGCGCAAUGGACGGAAGUCUGACGCAGCGACGCCGCGUGAGCGAUGAAGGUCUUCGGAUCGUAAAGCUCUGUCCUUGGGGAAGAAGGCGAAAGCUUGACGGUACCCAAGAAGAAAGCCCCGGCUAACUACGUGCCAGCAGCCGCGGUAAUACGUAGGGGGCGAGCGUUGUCCGGAAUUACUGGGCGUAAAGGGUGCGUAGGCGGCCCUUUAAGUCGGAUGUGAAAGCCCGCGGCUUAACCGCGGAAUGGCAUUCGAAACUGGAGGGCUUGAGUGUCGGAGAGGGUAGUGGAAUUCCCAGUGUAGCGGUGAAAUGCGUA
rnacentral:rRNA from 1 species